UACGGAGGGUGCGAGCGUUGUCCGGAAUCACUGGGCGUAAAGGGCGCGUAGGCGGCUUCUCAAGCGUGUGGUGAAAGUCCGGGGCUCAACCCCGGAUCGGCCGUGCGGACUGGGGAGCUCGAGUUCUGUAGAGGCGGGUGGAAUUCCGGGUGUAGCGGUGGAAUGCGUAGAGAUCCGGAAGAACACCGGUGGCGAAGGCGGUCUGCUGGGGUCGAACUGACGCUGAUGCGCGACAGCGUGGGGAGCAAACAGG
rnacentral:rRNA from 1 species